GGUGCCAGGUCAUGUUGACCGAUUCCUGAAUAGUUGCCAUUGUGCCGCGCUUGCAAAAGGAACCCGAGCAAACAUCACCCCAGAAAGGAAGCUUUUCUGCCAUCUCUGGUUGAAAUCUAAGCCAGAAGUUGAAGAUCAGUCUCUAGCCAACAGCACAUCUUCUGGGAACAAAUGAUUGUUGUCCUCAUUCGACAAAGUAAUAAUGAGAAAAAUAGGACCAGAGGCAGCGAUGAGUAUGGCUCUGUGUCUUUGUGUCAGGCACUAGAGGAAGAAAUUUAACUCCAGGUCCCACAGGUUAAAACAUAAAAUCA